rnacentral:rRNA from 1 species
CACGUAGGGUGCGAGCGUUGUCCGGAAUUAUUGGGCGUAAAGAGCUCGUAGGCGGCUCAGUUAGUCGGAUGUGAAAACUCCAGGCUCAACCUGGAGACGCCAUUCGAUACUGCUGUGGCUAGAGUCCGGUAGGGGAGCACGGAAUUCCUGGUGUAGCGGUGAAAUGCGCAGAUAUCAGGAGGAACACCGGUGGCGAAGGCGGGUCUCUGGGCAGUAACUGACGCUGAGGAGCGAAAGCGUGGGGAGCGAACAGG